GACGAACGCUGGCGGCGUGCUUAACACAUGCAAGUCGAACGAAGUGGCGAACGGGUGAGUAAUACGUGGGUAACCUGCCCUACUUUUUGGGAUAAGCCUUGGAAACGGGGUCUAAUACCGAAUAAAGGGGGAGGGGCUUGGGGCCUAUCAGCUGGUUGGUGGGGUGCUGGCCUACAAAGGCGGUGACGGGUACACGGACUGAGCGGGUGACCGGCCACAUUGGGACUAAGAGACGGCCCCGAGUCCUACGGGAGGCAGCAGUUGGGGAUAGUGCGCAAGGGUCGAGAGCCGGAUGCAGCGACGCUGGGGGGGGGAUGAAGGCUUACGGGUUGGAAACCUCUUUAGCUAACGAACGGGUAGGUGGAGAAGAAGCGCCGGCUAACUACGUGCCAGCAGCCGCGGUAAUAC
rnacentral:rRNA from 1 species